GGACCGAUAUAUCGGUCAUGCCUCGGUACGUACUGGUAUUUUCGGUUUCUCCCUUCUGACGAAUCUUGAUGUCAUUAAUUUGGUGUCUAGGGGAAUCAGGACUGUUACUUUGAAAAAAUUAGAGUGUUUAAAGCAGGCAUUAGCUUGAAUACAUUAGCAUGGAAUAAUGAAAUAGGACGUUCGAUCCUAUUUUGUUGGUUUCUAGGAUUGACGUA
rnacentral:rRNA from 1 species